rnacentral:rRNA from 1 species
UACGGGGGGGGCAAGCGUUGUUCGGAAUUACUGGGCGUAAAGGGCUCGUAGGUGGCCAACUAAGUCAGACGUGAAAUCCCUCGGCUUAACCGGGGAACUGCGUCCGAUACUGGAUGGCUGGAGUAUGGGAGAGGGAUGCGGAAUUCCAGGUGUAGCGGUGAAAUGCGUAGAUAUCUGGAGGAACACCGGUGGCGAAGGCGGCAUCCUGGACCGGCAUUGACGCUGAGGCGCGAAAGCCAGGGGAGCAAACGGG